CUGUGUCACCUGGGUGGGACUGCCACCCACAACCAGGCCGUGCAGGACACGCAGCGGCACAGGUGCCGUUCCGCAGCCGGUUAGGGACAGGUGGAGGUAGUCAUCUACCACCUUCUACCUUCCAAAGGGCCCCAGGACUUCAGGACUGCCUGGAAAACCCCACGGAUCAGGCUGCUCUGCUUCCAUAUCCAGAAGGCAUCUCUCUGCAGUCCACGGGAAGCGUAGGGGCGAGGAGUCUGGCUAAGAUAUUUGGCCACUCUCGAGCUGUGCUGGGCAAGACGACUGGUGUGUCAGUGUCUGCAGUGUGAUGCUCUCCCAGGACCCGCACCCCAUCCAAAUGCCACCCAUCCCACGUGGCGCUGAGGGUCAUGAGCUCCACUCCCUAAUGAAGAUCUGUGCCAGAGCAGCUCACGCUGCCCUGAGGGAAAUGGUGAUUUGCAGGACUGCAUUUUAUGACUGCUGUUUCCCCUCUUCUAUAAUUCUUCAGAAAAAAAUGCAGGCAUGCUAACUCCAUCCCACAGAUGGAAAAAAAUGCACCCAAAUUCCCGGACCAGCAGACAGCCAGCCUCUGAGGGUGAAGGACACAUGACACAACUCUUGUGCUGGGCAUCUCCAGGGGAUGCCCACCAGGCUGAGCUCCUGCUCCUGGAAAAUACCGCUCCGGUGCUGCCUCCCUCCCAUCCAUCCACCCAGCUCUGAGCCAGUGGAAAUGGGACUGCCGAGAUUGCCGAGAUCUUUGAAAUGUGCUUUGUGAGAGGAUUCAUCCUGGUUUGAUACAACAGAGAGAAAAGGAAUCCACAAGGAAUCCCAGGGGCUUGCAGAUGCCUGUUAGGCUGCAGCGAGGAUGAAAGCAGAUGAGCUUUUUUUGAGGACUUGGCUGAAGCAUCUGUAAGAUCCACUCUGAGCAGCGCUUUGAGCUGGGCUGGUGCUUUGAUCCCGAGCGCGGUGGGAGAGCUCCCAGGAGCUCCUGGAGUACUGCAGUGGCGAGCAGUGGGCAUCAGGAGGUUUGGAGCUAACAACAGUGUUCCUGAAGCGAUUGCAAAUGUUUUGAAGGAUUUCUGUAAGUGAAAGCAGCAAAUGGGCAGGGCUGGAUUUUUAGCCAGCUGGUAACCAGGUGGUGGAUGUGUCUUAAGCUGUAACCACACCAGUGCGCAUCGCACCCCCGCAGCCGAAUAUUUAAAGCAUCACGUUCCUUAAAAGACCUAAUUUUGGAGGUGAUACGAGUGCUGUUAGUGGCAGGCAAAACCUCCUGAAGCUUCUGCAGCAGCAGCAGCCCCUGAGCAGCCAGGGGAAAAUGCAGGCAUGGCUGCUUGGAGAUGCUCCCCCCAGGCUGGGGGGCUGUGCCCUGGGGGAUGAGCUGUGGGUCACCUAGCUCAGGCUGUGACCCCUCACACAGCCGGUUCCUUGUCACCCUCGCGCCCUUUCCGGAUCAGCCCUUUUCCAGCCUGAUUACAGGCCUGCCUGGAAAUACAGACGAUUCAUGGUUUCAGUGUGAGUCACAGAAGGUUUGGUGGCUUUUCCCUCCGUGCAGCUCCAGGCUCCCAGGGCUGAGGCGGUUAGCUGGCAGUGGCAGCCUCUCGCCCCGAGGAAGCAGAUCAGCAGCCCUUGUGCUUGUGGAGAGGUCUGGAUGUGUCCUGAGCAGGCUCAGGGCAAGCAAGUAAGAAUCCCAAGCAUUAUUUUGAAGACUUUUCCUCUUUUUGGGGAAAAGAGAUCACUGAGGUGGGUAGUGGGAAGGCUGGGCUGCCCUGGGACCCCCAAUAUGGGGGUUCUGCUCCUGGGGGCCCAUGCUGGGUGCUUGGUGUGCUCCAUCUCCUAGCCCUGAGCGGGCAGAGCAGCUCCACUCUCCCGCAGGGUGCCGAGACCAGCCAGACUCGCUCCCCUCUGCUGGCAGGAGUUCCUGCCGCACCGGGUUUGCAAGGAGAGGUGGGUUUUUAAUAAAACAGACUGUUACAGCUAGGGGACACAGACAAGUGCUAUGGGAGGCGAACACUUCCUUGUGACUGUCAGCUCAGUGCAGGACCUCAGCUCUCCCUGCAAGCCUUGUCUGAUGCUGCUGGGGACAGAAGUGGCAGUUGAGGUGACCCUGGAGGUCACGUAACAUCUGGGAGGUGAGGGGAAACCUGACUGGGCUACAGACAUAAAGCGCUUCAGAGAGGGAAUCUUACCUGUGUGGUAUGUGCUGCUGCCUUUUAUUUGCUGUGCAGUGUUUGGGAAGAGCCCAGUGCUGCGCCAAGCUCGGUCCCCCCACGCACAGGCUCUGCCAUCAGACAUGUCCUCUGCUCCCCAUCUCCUAAACCAGGUGCCCAGCCAGCCACGGGCUCGAGCACGGAGUGCCCACGGGGCUGGGAUGGAUCCUGAUGCUCCUGCAGACCAGCGCUGCUGGAUGGGCUCUCCUGCACCGUCUGCUCAGGUACGGCUGUGUCUGGGCCCAGCAGUGUUUGCAGCAUCUCCCAGCUCUGCAGCAGGCAGUGGCUGUGCAGGACUCCAGCCAUCCCCCACCCUCGGCUUUGUGACCCUCCCUGUCUUUCCACAGCCCACCACCCUGCUGUGAGCCUCCUCCCAGAGCUGGAGCCCAGCAGGGAUGGGUGUCUCAGGCUCAGCUGGCUCUCCUGAGCUCCCUGCUUAGCUCCUACCACCUUCACCAAGGCUUCUGCACCCUCCGAGGCUGUUCCCAGCCUUCAAAAAUGCUGAAAAUACCCCUCAGUGCCCAAAGGCUCAAAGAGCCUUGCAGCAGUUGUAAACCCUGGGAGCUGGCUUCUGUGUAAAACACUAUUAUUUUAUUUUGUUAGUACUAAAAAUAAUUUGGAAAUGCCAUCAAUGAAUAGCUAUGGAAGCCUGUUCCAAAGCAAUGCGAAAUGUCUCGGGCUGAACCUCUCCAGUAGGCACCACUGGUGUCCUGCCUGGGAGCCCAGCGACCACAGCACCACUUCUCCAGCUUCAGCAUCGGUUUGUAAUGUCAACAUAACCCCUGGUAUAAUAGCAGCCUUGUCAUUUAUGCUUAUAUAUCAGUCUGUUUAUAAUAUCUCUAAGCAAGGAUGUUACUUAUUGGGAUAAAAUGGGCUAUCCAGAGAGGCUGAGGCCUGCACAGGGUCAGGAGGAGCGCGCGUACCCAUUUGAUAAUUCCGACACCGUAAGCCUCCUAAAAGGGAAGGCUGUCAGUACUAUUAGCAGGCAUUACUGCGCAACGGAAAGACAAUUACUGCGGGAGAACCACUUCUCCUGGGGUUAAUGAUUCACCAGCACAUGUCAGUGCUAUUAAUCCCCAAGGGAGCGGGGGCAGGUGGCCUCAUGAACGCGCUAUUCCCUGCUCGAGCCUUGCAGUGAUGCUGGUGAUGCUGUGGGGAGGUUCUCCCUUGCUCUGUGCGUCUCAGAAAAUACUCCGAGGGGGUGCAGGGCUGCUCUGCAGCUCCUGGGGGGCUGGCGCUUGAGCUGGGCCACACUUUGGGCUUUUCCAGUGAUACCUGCUACCUUGUGAUGGGAAUCUUCGCUUGCCCGGCAGGGUCUUUGCCAUUGAGCUUUUCCCUGCAGCAACAGCUGUGCUGUGCAGAGUCGGGUGAGAAGCUCAGCACAUUCACUGACCUUUCAGGUGUCUGGGAAGCUCCUAGACCCUCUGUAGUUCCCCACAGGAGGGAUACAGCCAGCCUUCAUAGACAAAGCAUCUUGGCCCCUCCUCUAACAGCAGCACUGGCUGCAUGGCAGCCCCUGUGCUGGCUGCUGGGCUUUGCUGGGGGCAGUGGCUGGGCUGGCUGGGGAUGCUCCUCUGCCCUGGCAGUCAUGGGCUGUCCUGGCUGCGGCAGCCAGGUCCUGCACCACGGUGUUCUGUGCUGGCUGGUCCAUCACACACAACACAAGCUGGUGCGGGCCACGGAGCAGUCGGUUUGUGAUGGGGAUGUUGCCUGCAAAGCUCCCUCUGCUCCUCAGCAAUACUCUCAAACUCCUGUGCCUUAUAUUAUGUAGUUUGUAUGAAAUCAUAGGUCAUUUCUGAGCAUAACAGGCACAAUUAAAGGUGUGAUCGUACACAGAUGAGCUUACACUGUGGCUGCAAACUGAGGAGAUUCUCUGUCCCAGCAAAGGCUUGUACAUUGGAUUUACUGUCUGCCUUUGCAGAGGGGAGUUUUGUAAGAAAGAGAAAAAAAAAAGGCAAAAAAAAGCGUGCCUUUUCCCCUAAGCUUAAAAAGCCUCAGAAAAAAUCUGUGUUAGUUUGUUAUUUCUUGCCACACAAUAUUUGUCUGACAGUUGUAAUCACUGCUAGUACUUCCAAUGUGUCUUAAAGCUUAAUUGACUGGACUUUUCCAUUAGCAAUGAGAUAAAGCAAUGACCUUCUUCUUGCCUUAACAAUUAAUUUACCCCAUAGCAGCUUGUGGCACCUGCUGCCUCCUCUUUCAGCUCUGUGCGCUCAGGAAAGGCCAUUUUCUGGCUGCACCGUGCUCCUGUGAGCCUCCACGAGACGCGGCACGUACAGCGGAGCUGCAGCGUGGGUGGUGAUGGAGAAUGAGUCACCGGGAUGAAGGAGCUGAGCAACAGGCAAGAGGAUAAUUCGCCUUGUGAUGGUGAUUCAGCCUCUGCGGGGUGGUGACAGAAUGAGCAGAGCUAUUGUUUCUCCCCACUAGCUGAUGACAAAAGCAUUCUUGCCCCUCUUAUGACAUUUCAUCGUAGAAGAAAUAUGAACAAAGUGAUGUGUAAAAUAGUGAUGAGUGAUGCCCCUGCUUCAGAGAACACCUUCUGGUUCUCAGAGAACACCUUCUGGUUCUCAGCCUACCCUGAAUGCUGGGCAGCUUGCUGUGCAAACAGCCAGACCCCUCCUGCCCAGGGAUGCUGCUGUGGCACUGCCAGCCCCAGGAGCAGCUCAGCAUGCACAAGGGAUGGAGCUAGCCCAGCACACAGAAGGGAUGGGAGCCAGCUCAGUGGGUGCAGAUGGAAGGCCACCCUGCUGCGGCAGCCUGGGAGUGCCACAGCAGCUGCUCCUGCAGCCCGCAUCAGCGAGUUCCUGCAUCUAGAUGUCACCCAGCCACCCUACAGGCACACAUCAGCAUCACCUCAGUGAAGUGGUUCAGC